GGAGUGCACGCACAUGCACAUCCACACCGGCAGCUACAAAGGCAGCAGAAACAUACAAGCCACAAAGGACUCGGAGGGGUCCGCGACAGUUCUCUCCCUCCACACACACAACACACACACACACACACCUCGCGCCUCCAGCAAUGAAGAGGCGGCGCGGCUUGCUUGAGAUCCACAGCGUGGCGGCCCGACCGCACAAGCGAGGCGGCACCGAGACAACGCGGGAGCACCACUUCCCGCUCUACUCGCACCCUAUGUUUCGUGCCGCACGGCACAACGCAAAUGCGGUGCAGGAUGCCGUCGUAGAACAGUCCGACCGCGUCGAUCCACGCGCGCUUGACGCGGCUCUUGAGAACAUGGUGACACAGCUCCUGCAGCGGCAGCUGAGUCAGCACGAGGCCGAAGGGAACACAUCUCCCACCCUUGCAAAGAAGGAUCUUAUCGUCACCGAGAGUGAGCUGCUAGCGCUCCUCGCCGAAGCGACACACGCCACGCCACUGUCACCGCACCCGCAGCAACCGCCGUCGGCGUUUCCGCCUAUUAGACCAGAGGCAAUCGCGGCGCUCGCCACUGCAGCCGUCGCGUCCUCGCCACCACCGCAGCAAGGGCCGUUCAUUCCGAAUCAGGGCUACCACACCACACACCCUCCCCUGCAGUCCAACGGUGACGCCGAGCGCCGCGUGGGGCCACCGCCGCGCACCCAGGCUUCAUCCUUCAACAGCGCAGCCUCGGCCUUAGGUGGCGACGAGCCGGAAGAGCUCAACGUCGUGUCGGUCGACACCCUUCAGCAAGCUGCUCUGAGAAGUCGCGGGCGCAUGGACGAACAAGCGGUGCCGCGGCUCCAGCCGCUGUCCGAAAGGGCGGUAUCGACGAUUUCGGGUCGGACGACAAGGCAGCAGCAUCCUCCUACGACGUCGCUCUACUCGCUGCUCCCGUGCCUGGUGGCUUCACCAGGGCUGACGGCGGCCUCGGUGCUUCCUGCCACCGUCUCUUCAUCUCCGAGCCCGUCACCGUCUUCAGUGACGUUUCGUGAAAUGGACCGCUGGCCGGGUACCGGCACAGGCCCCGUCGCACAGCAGUCUGUGGAUGCGCAGCAGCUUCACCAAGUCCCCGACGCCGUCUUCGCCGCCAUGGACGUGCUCAUGGACGGCAACAGCUGCUGCAUGCGGCGGCGCCAGCGCCUGGUAGCGACGAACGGGAACAAGGCUGAAUCACUUUCGCUGAAUCCGAGGUGCCUUCCCGGAAGCGGAGGCGGCGCUUCAGGAGGCUCCUGCUUCGCCUUCGGAUGUGGCGGCAAGGGUGCGAGUCUCAACCGCAUGUACGUCCCUGUAGCGCAGAACACGCUGCCUGCCCCACCGCCGCCACGCACCGCCGCGGAGGCGAAAGCGCGCCGCAUCCUGGAGGGCCAGCGACGCAAGCAGCGGCUGCAAAAUCAGCAGCAGCAUCUUGUGUCCAACUCCUCUUUGGUGGCUGGCGGCGGCAACAUCGCGCCGCUCAGCUCCUCCCUCGUCGAGUUUCGCAGCGGCACUGCCAGUCUACCAACAGAGCCUCUCAGAUGGCGCCACAUAGACCGGUCCGGUUCAAGGAGCCACGGCAGUACGCACCCGGCGCCGCCCUCUGCCGCCUCUUCUGUGAGCCGCAGUGCCGCUGUGGUGGUCGGGGCCGCUUCAACUCUACCGCUCACCCAAGAGGCCUCACUGCCCUUCACUCUUCGUGGCAUCGCGGGUGAGCCCGUGUACAUGCAGGCCAUCAGCUCUGCAAACUGCUUUGUUGGCCCGCGUCUUUGAUCUCGAAGAAGCAGCAUGGCUCGCGUCGCACAUUCGAGUGCGUCCGUGUGCGGCGGCACGCGAGACCAACCGCGGAGGGUUACUCCGUCCGUGCUUGUCUGCUCGUCCCACGCGCAUGUUUUGUGCGGCGGUCUCUGCAAGUCCUGCGCAUACGGCGACCGCUGCCGCCGCUCCUGCUGUUGUCGCCAUCUGCUAUCAUAUGUACUUUCCCUCGUGUUGGUUUCCGCGUUGGCGCCCGACGUCACGAACAGAAAGAUGCGCACGUGGGUGCAUGUGUACAUGUGGGUGACUCUGGAGAGAGACACAGUUAUGUGUGUGUAGGUGUGUGUGUGUGUGUGUGGUAUAUAUGUAUAUAUGUAUGUAUGUGUAUACUCAAGUGUAAGAGAGCGAGAAGACAGCACGGAUGUGAGCAGAAAC
rnacentral:misc_RNA from 1 species